GCCCUGGGUAAGCCGGCCCAUAAGGCGAGGGCGAAAGCCGUAGCCGAUGGGAAAUCGGUCCAUAGUCCGAUGCUUCCCCAUGUUUCGAGGGCAGGACGCAUGAGGCGAGGCCAGGCCGGAGAACGGUAGUUCCGGCCGGAGCGGCGAGGCGUCGAGGGCGGCAGGCAAAUCCACCGCCCGAGCCGAGCCGUGAGCGAGCGGAGAGAAAGUCGAAGCGAAGCUGGCGCAGCCAUGGUGCCGGGAAAUACUGUCUAAGGCCAGGCAUGGGGGAACCGUACCGCAAACCGACACAGGUGGGCAGGAUGAGAAAUCCGAGGCGCACGAGCGACCUCGCGUUAAGGAACUCGGCAAAAUGCGCACGUAACUUCGGGAGAAGUGCGGCUCAUGUUAGAGAUGAUAAUGAGCGGCAGAAAGCAGGCCCAGGCGACUGUUUAUCAAAAACACAGCCAUCUGCGAACCAGCGAUGAGACGUAUA
rnacentral:rRNA from 1 species